rnacentral:rRNA from 1 species
UACGUAGGGGCCGAGCGUUGUCCGGAGUUACUGGGCGUAAAGCGCGCGCAGGCGGCUCGUCAAGCCUGACGUGAAAGCCCCCGGCUCAACCGGGGAGGGUCGUCGGGGACUGGCGGGCUUGAGGUCGGCAGGGGUUGGUGGAAUUCCCGGUGUAGUGGUGAAAUGCGUAGAGAUCGGGAGGAACACCCGUGGCGAAGGCGGUUCUCUGGGCCUUACCUGACGCUGAGGAGCGAAAGCGUGGGGAGCGAACAGG